UGCCUUAUACAUGCAAGUCGAACGGAAAGGCCCUUCGGGGUACUCGAGUGGCGGACGGGUGAGUAACACGUAGGAAUCUACCCUAGAGUGGGGGAUAACUAAGAGAAAUCUUAGCUAAUACCCCAUGCGUCGAAAGAUAAAAGUAGUAAUACGCUCUGGGAGGAGCCUGCGUUAGAUUAGCUAGUUGGUGGGGUAAAGGCCUACCAAGGCUACGAUCUAUAGCUGGUCUGAGAGGAUGAUCAGCCACAAUGGGACUGAGAUACGGCCCAUACUCCUACGGGAGGCAGCAGUAGGGAAUCUUGCGCAAUGGACGAAAGUCUGACGCAGCAAUACCGUGUGCGGGAAGACGCUCUGUGGAGUGUAAACCGC
rnacentral:rRNA from 1 species